CCAUUCUCAUAACAGACUUGGUGCACAGUGGUGUCUGGAGGAAGUGGUCCUCAAGGACUAAGGUUCCCAACCCCCAGCUGGCUUGCUCUUAUGUAUAUAUGCAUUCCUAGACUAGGCACCUUCAUUUGGUAGCCUCCGAAAAGACGAUUUUAUCCAGAGUGACUCAAUACUUUCCCAUUUCUAGGCCAUCCUUCUUGUCCUCUCCCAGGUCCUGGGUCCAAAAAACAGCAGGAGGCUUUUGUCCUAAGAUCUUCUUCCCUUCCCCCUAAUCUGUGAUGCAUGUCGUCUGUCCCUAGCCCGGUGCUCUUCUUUAGGGGAAAAAUGGACUGUCGUGGUCAUGGAAGCUGGAGUCUUUCACCCUUUCCUAUUAGUCCUCUUGCUUAUAGUAUCACAGCAAGUGAAUAAGGGCUUAUGACUUUCAGUUUGACUCCUUGUCUUAAUUGACCACCUUGACACCUAUUAGCCCUCUAGCAGUUUCUGCCCCUGUUGUGAUAACCCUGAAGUUUGUGCCAAAUGGAGAUAUUGCAAGACAGAAGCACCUCGGAAUUCUGAGCCACCACUUGGAAAACAGUGACCCCAGAGGGAUUCCCAGGCCCAAAGUAGACUUGGGUGAGUGAGCCAUAAACUUCUGUUGAGCCACUGAAAUGUUGGUACUAUCUUUUAUUACAGGGUGUGAAAGCUGAUCAUCUGAAAUGGGCACAAGACUAGACAUGCUAACUGUUCUGGGGCUGUGGACAAGUCCAAGACAGUGGGAGAGUGAAAGAGAUAAGAGAUGGGCCAGCAUUGAGUGAUGUCCAGUGCAGUGGUCACAGAGAACUUUCUUCUUAGUAUGGUCCAAUGAAUGUCAGAUUUCCCCCAAACUCCAGUUCCACUAGCACCUUCUCACAAUGGGCAAGGCAAAGUGGGCACGUGGGAGAGGAAGGCAGGACUGUCUUAAAAAAUAUUUUCAUUGGGGAAGCAAAGUGGAAAUCUUGUAGCAAAACUGUGCUGUUCACUCCUGGCAUAAAGGGUUUGGGACACCUUCCUUCCCACCCUUCCAGGAGAGCUACUUGGCAGAGGUGUUAGCUAAAGAUGAGAGGAAUCAAGAAUGGGUGGUGGGGGAAGGAAAUGAGUUUCAGUUAUAUGAUCUCAAAGAUAACUACAGUCCCAGGAGCUAUAAUUUUCCACUCCACUUCUAUUGAGCUAUAAUAGACAUAGAAUAUCACGUAUGUUUAAGGUGUACAAUGUGAUGAUUUGAUAAUGCAUGUAUAGCAAAAGAUUUACCAGUAAGGUUUGUUAACACCUCCUUUAUCUUACAUAAUUACCAUUUUGUUGUUGUUGUCCUGGUGAGAACAUUAAAGAUUUGCUCUCCUAGCAACUGUAUGAUACAGUAUCAUCCACUACAGUCACUUGGAACUAUAAUUUGCCUAAUUCCUUUAAGUUCCCCAGGAAACAAGGCCCCCCAGAAUCUUGGAGAAGGUGUUCCCAGAUGGAUCAAAUUUACUAUGAGGGACAUUAGUGUGAGUGGCAUAAGGGGUGACGAAUGAAUAUUGGGGUUCUCCUCCCAGGUCUCCACUGGAGGACUAAUGCAUUCAUUCCCAGCUGCUGGGAAUAUCAGCUGCUUACAGCUCAUAGUUGUGUUCCUCACUGGGCCUUGCUUUCAGCUAUAGGCAAAUGCAUCACCCAAAGUUAUGUGCUUUCCCUUCAGGUGGCCCCUGUGCAAUGAGUGGAUGAUGUGGGGAUGUAGAGUCCUGGGUCCUUUGUCUCCACUUGGACAACUCGGAAAGGUGCUCCUACUCUAGAGCUCCUCAUGGGCUGAGAUGCGAUCAGGUUAAGGCAAGCUUUCCCUUCUGCCCAAACCAUGCCUGCUCCAUGUUCCUAUAAGUCUAUCUCCUGAACGCGUCUCAAGAAACCCGCACAUAUUUCUCCACCUUAAACAUCUGGUCCCAGGAGCUUGAUCUAAGGCAAUUCUCCUGUGAAAAGCUGAAGGAGAGUUUACACGUUUUCUCUCCAUACCAGAGAUUCCCUACUUAGAACUUAGGAAAGGAAAUGAACAUAUAUGAUGGGUUCUGAGCUUAUUUUCUCACGCCCUAGUACAGAAACUGAACUUACGAAGGUGAAGUGAAUUGUCCAAAGUCAUUCCCUAACUGCUUAGUUGUAAAGCUGGGGCAUUUUAAAACAUUAAAAAAAUUAAAAAAAAAAUUUUUUUUUGGGCCUUGCCCAUGGCAUAUGGAGGUUCCUGGGCUAGGAGUUGAAUCCAAGCUGCAGCUGCUGGCCUACACCAUUCAGCUACAGCAAUGCCAGAUCAGAGCUGCAUCUGCAACCUACACCACAGCUCGUGGCAAUGACAGAUCCUUAACCCACUGAGCGAAGCCAGGGAUCGAAUCUUCAUCCUCAUAGAUGCCAGUCAGAUUUGUUUCCCCUGAGCCACAACAGGAACUCCCUGAAGCUUUUUUUUUUUUUUUUUUUUUAAACCACUAGGGCUUUUUGAUAAAAGCCAGAGUUGGAUAGAAGAAACUCAGACAAGAUAUUGAAACCUAUGUGGAAAUACUACCAGAGUGCUAGGCAGAGCACAGAUCUCUCUGGAGAUGUUCAACAUUCAGCUGAGUCUGCCUCUACAUUGAGCAAAGUUGAUGAAGGUAACAGGUGGAACUGGGCUUGUCUGGCACCUGCUCAUUAUUCAUUUUGAGGGACUGGUUUGAUCUGCUCCUUACACUCUCAGCAAACUGCCCUUUCCCUCUGCUUUGCUGUCCUCUAUCCCUUGUUCACCACCAACUGCGGCUUUUUUCCUCAUAAAGAGGAUUCAGAAAGCAUUGUUAAGAGUAACAAAUGCCCCUUCCAGCAGGAUUGGCUUUAUUUUUCUUUUCUCUGAUUUGAGGAAUUUUCCACAAGAAAUAGUGUUGGAUUCAAAAGUCUAAUCAAUAUGGCCCUGAAGAGGUGGUUCCAAAAUAGAGUCUUUUAUUUUAAAACUUCUAUUAACUAGAAUAUCUAGAAUAUGGAAUGUUCUGUUUAUUCAACUUUAAUGGGUUACUAAAAUCCUUCUCAAGUACAUGAGAAUAAAACUAUGAGCUCACUUUUCUGCUUUAGUUUUAAUAUAGCACAAUGAUUCAGAUUAAAUCUUUCUUUGGUGAAUCAGAGCCUUAUCUCAAACUAAUCUGCUGUUUUUUUUUUUAAAUGGAAGAAUCCUGUAAAAGUAGAAAGUACAGGAAAACUGAAAUGAAUGUAUGCUAACUGCUAGAGAGUUCCUGCAAACUAUUUCGAAGAAAUCUGUAAUAUCACUUUUAAUCAUUACUUUUUUUAAAAAAAAAUAGCAUUUGAGAAACAAAACAAAAUUUAUUUCAUGAAAAUUCAAGUUGUUUAUGGUCUAGUUAAUUGGUGUUUUCCUGAACAGAUUAAAAGCAUUCUAAAUUACAUGUUUUUAGAUGACUUGGAAUAGUAAAAUGGAAAAAAAAUUAACCAAAACUUUCCUAAAAUUGAGAUGACUGAAGAAGGUCUGUGUCCCCCACGCCACCUUUUUUUUAACUUACGAAGUUUUAACUUCUUAAUUGAAGAUGUUUGAUAAGCUUAUUUUUACAGAAAUACAACUUUUGGUGCACUUCUCUGGUUAAUUAUUGUGCUUGCUUUUCUUUUUCUUUUUUUUUUUUUUUUGCCCUUUAAUGAUUUCCUUUGGACCCAUGCAGGGCGGUUCAAUUUCAGUGCAGAGAGUGUUAUGUUCCCCCUUGGUAAGCUCCCAUUAUUUUAUAUCCAGGAAAUUUUCCCUGGGGGUUGCCUGUGAAGCUCCCACAAAGAAAGAACUAGACCUAAGAAAAUGACAGAUGUUAUCAUUUCCAAGGAGAAACUCUGACUCUAUUAAUAUUUCAUAGAUUCCAAAGUGAUGAAAAUGGAACAUGUCUUCUUUUAACUUCAAAUUGUAUGCAUUUCUUAAAACAAAGAAACCAACAUUUUUAAAAUUAAGCAUGCAACUUAUAUAAAAGGUAAAAUAAUAGAAAAAAGGAAGAGCUAUAAGAAGAGAUAUUUCAGGCAUGACCUGUUUGGAAAACAAAAGUGAAAUUAAAUUAAAAAUAUCAACUCUGAGUUCCCGCCAUGGCGCAGUGGAAACGAAUCCGACUAGGGACCAUGAGGUUGAGGGUUCGAUCCCUGGCCUCGCUCAUUGGGUUGAGGAUCCAGCAUUGCCCUGAGCUGCGGUGUAGGUCACAGACGUGGCUUGAAUCCUGCAUUGAUGUGGUUGUGGUGUAGGCUGGCAGAUGUAGCUCCGAUUCGACUCCUAGCCUGGGAACCUCCAUGUGCCAUGGGUGCGGCCCUAAAAAAACAAAAAAAUUAAAAAAUUAAAAAAAAAAGAUCAACCCUGAGCACCCUAGAUUUCUACUGCAGGUAACUUGGAACCAUUCCACUUGAUCUAUCUUCAGGAGUCCUUUUUUCAUUUUAUUUUAGGGAUUUUUUUCUGAGACCAUUUGGGUUGUCUCAGAGAAGUUUUCUUAGACCAAGCCUCCAACCUCAGUGCAAGAGCUGAAAACUGCCAGCUUAACCAUUUUGUUUGGCCAUUACUGGAAAGUAUUUUGCACUUGAACGUACUUAGGCAGGAAAUGCCAGUGACAUUUGACUACUCUUGUCAAAACUCCUUAGUCGGUGAGAACCCAGAGACUUGAGUUUGAGACCUCUGUUUGAGGCCUCUGAAAUAAUAUGGGAUAAUCUAUUUCUGGUACAUCUUAAAAUACAGUACAUAUGGACUUUUAGAGGCAGACGGGAUCAUGUCAGAGUGACUAGUGUGUUAGGGAUAUGUGGGGAUACUUGGUCAAAGGGAAGUUGAGGCCCAGAGGAAUUAAGCAGAGGAAUUCCAGAGCUGUUUAGAAACUUGGGUGUCACAAGGGAGACUCAUUAUCCCCCAUGUCGCUUCCAUUCCUAAGACCAUACAUAAAAUCAUAACUCGAAGGGCAAAGCAUCUGGGUCAUGGUGCAUUUGCAGUGCAUUAAGGUGGAUAAGAGCAUGGAUUCUUGUGCCAGCUUGCCUGGUUAAAACAUCGUCCCAUCACCUACUAUGUGUGUGAGCUUCCUGAUCUGACAAGUGGAAAUAAUAGCCGUAUCUGCCUCAAAAGCUUUUUGCAAAGACUGCCUGAGUUAAUAAAUAUAAAACUCUUGGAAUAGUUUCUGGCACUUAGUAAGUGCUAACUGUUCAUGUUAUCACUUAUUCAUUAAUCAAGCAUUAAAAGAACAUUUUCUAUGUUCUAGGUACUAUAGCAGCUCCUGAACAUCCAACUGGGGUCAAGACAGUGCCAUUCUUCAGGGAGCUAACAAUUUAGUAGCAUGCGUGCUCUGAUGCUACCAAAGCUUAAUGCAAAUGCUGACACUGCAAUGGGAGCCUCAUCUCUUUAUGUCAGCUGUCAUUUC
rnacentral:lncRNA from 1 species